rnacentral:rRNA from 1 species
UACGUAGGUGGCAAGCGUUAUUCGGAAUCACUGGGCUUACAGGGUGCGUAGGCGGCUUAGCAAGUCAGGUGUGAAAGCCCCCGGCUCAACCGGGGAACUGCGCUUGAAACUGCUGAGCUCGAGUCAGCUAGAGGUACACGGAACUUCCAGUGGAGCGGUGAAAUGUGUUGAUAUUGGAAGGAACACCGGAGGCGAAAGCGGUGUACUGGGGCUGGUCUGACGCUGAGGCACGAAAGCCAGGGGAGCGAACGGG